UGGGACUCAGUGGUAGAGUGCUUGCCUAGCAUGUAAGAGGCCCUGGGUUUGAUUCCCAGCA
rnacentral:tRNA from 1 species